rnacentral:rRNA from 1 species
GUGCCAGCCGCCGCGGUAAUACGUAGGGUGCGAGCGUUAAUCGGAAUUACUGGGCGUAAAGCGUGCGCAGGCGGUUCUGCAAGUCAGCUGUGAAAGCCCCGGGCUUAACCUGGGAACGGCGGUUGAAACUGCAGGACUAGAAUCUGGCAGAGGGGGGUGGAAUUCCACGUGUAGCAGUGAAAUGCGUAGAGAUGUGGAGGAACACCGAUGGCGAAGGCAGCCCCCUGGGCUAAGAUUGACGCUCAGGCACGAAAGCGUGGGGAGCAAACAGGAUUAGAUACCCCAGUAGUCC